AACGAACGCUGGCGGCAGGCUUAACACAUGCAAGUCGAACGCCCCGCAAGGGGAGUGGCAGACGGGUGAGUAACGCGUGGGAAUCUACCCAGAUCUUCGGAACAACUGAGGGAAACUUCAGCUAAUACCGGAUACGCCCUACGGGGGAAAGAUUUAUCGGUUCUGGAUGAGCCCGCGUUGGAUUAGCUAGUUGGUGGGGUAAUGGCCUACCAAGGCGACGAUCCAUAGCUGGUCUGAGAGGAUGAUCAGCCACACUGGGACUGAGACACGGCCCAGACUCCUACGGGAGGCAGCAGUGGGGAAUAUUGGACAAUGGGCGAAAGCCUGAUCCAGCCAUGCCGCGUGAGUGAUGAAGGCCUUAGGGUUGUAAAGCUCUUUCAGUGGGGAAGAUAAUGACGGUACCCACAGAAGAAGCCCCGGCUAACUUCGUGCCAGCAGCCGCGGUAAUAUCAUGUGUA
rnacentral:rRNA from 1 species